UACGUAGGAGACGAGCGUUGUCCGGAGUUACUGGGCGUAAAGGGUGCGCAGGCGGCCCUGCGCGUCGCGAGUGAAAUCUCCCGGCUCAACUGGGAGGGUGGUCGCGAGACGGCAGGGCUUGAGGCUCGGUGAGGGGCGUGGAAUUCCGGGUGGAGCGGUGAAAUGCGUAGAUAUCGGGAGGAACACCUGUGGCGAAAGCGGCGCACUGGACCACAACUGACGCUGAGGCGCGAAAGCUAGGGGAGCAAACAGG
rnacentral:rRNA from 1 species